rnacentral:lncRNA from 1 species
GGAGAGCCAUGGUGGCGGACACGGGGGCAAAGGACAUGGAGGCGGCCAUGGAGGAAAGGGGCACCAUGGAUAAACAUAGCAGCUGAUGUGUCACGAGAAAGCCCUUGUUUUUUAUUCCACUGCUGCUGGACAACGGGGAAACCACAACUCAUGUAAAACAUGAUGAUCUUGUAUUUUGUUUGACCAGACCUCUGAAUAAAAAUACACUCCAAAGUGUUAAAUCUGAUUACA